rnacentral:rRNA from 1 species
UGCGUAGGUGGCGCUGUAAGUCAGGUGUGAAAUUUCGGAGCUUAACUCCGAAACUGCAUUUGAUACUGCGGUGCUUGAGGACUGGAGAGGAGAUUGGAAUUCACGGUGUAGCAGUGAAAUGCGUAGAGAUCGUGAGGAAGACCAGUGGCGAAGGCGGGUCUCUGGACAGUUCCUGACACUGAGGCACGAAGGCCAGGGGAGCAAACG